AGCGAACGCUGGCGGCAGGCCUAACACAUGCAAGUCGAACGAACCUUUCGGGGUUAGUGGCGGACGGGUGAGUAACACGUGGGAACGUGCCUUUAGGUUCGGAAUAACUCAGGGAAACUUGUGCUAAUACCGAAUGUGCCCUUCGGGGGAAAGAUUUAUCGCCUUUAGAGCGGCCCGCGUCUGAUUAGCUAGUUGGUUGAGGUAAUGGCUCACCAAGGCGACGAUCAGUAGCUGGUCUGAGAGGAUGAUCAGCCACAUUGGGACUGAGACACGGCCCAAACUCCUACGGGAGGCAGCAGUGGGGAAUCUUGUGCAAUGGGCGAAAGCCUGACGCAGCCAUGCCGCGUGAAUGAUGAAGGUCUUAGGAUUGUAAAAUUCUUUCACCGGGGACGAUAAUGACGGUACCCGGAGAAGAAGCCCCGGCUAACUUCGUG
rnacentral:rRNA from 1 species